GAACGGGUGAGUAAUACAUAAGUAACCUUCCCUUAAGUCUGGGAUAACUCUUCGAAAGAAUAGCUAAUACCGGAUAUUUUCUUUAUUUCGCAUGAUUUGAAGAAGAAAGGAUUCGUCCGCUUUUGGAUGGGCUUAUGUCUGAUUAGCUUGUUGGUAGGGUAAUGGCCUACCAAGGCUAUGAUCAGUAGCUGGUCUGAGAGGAUGGACAGCCACACUGGGACUGAGACACGGCCCAGACUCC
rnacentral:rRNA from 1 species